AUUGAACGCUGGCGGCAUGCUUUACACAUGCAAGUCGAACGGUAACGGGGACUUCGGUCUGCCGACGAGUGGCGAACGGGUGAGUAAUAUAUCGGAACGUAUCCAGAAGAGGGGGAUAACGCAUCGAAAGAUGUGCUAAUACCGCAUAUUCUCUGAGGAGGAAAGCAGGGGAUCGCAAGACCUUGCGCUUUUGGAGCGGCUGAUGUCUGAUUAGCUAGUUGGUGGGGUAAAGGCCUACCAAGGCGACGAUCAGUAGUUGGUCUGAGAGGACGACCAGCCACACUGGGACUGAGACACGGCCCAGACUCCUACGGGAGGCAGCAGUGGGGAAUUUUGGACAAUGGGCGCAAGCCUGAUCCAGCAAUGCCGCGUGAGUGAAGAAGGCC
rnacentral:rRNA from 1 species